AAAGGUACCCGUACCGCAAACCGACACAGGUGGGUGAGGAGAGUAUCCUAAGGCCAGCGAGAGAACUGUUGUUAAGGAACUCGGCAAAAUGACCCCGUAACUUAGGGAUAAGGGGUGCCACCAUCAGGUGGCCGCAGAGAAUAGGCCCAAGCGACUGUUUACCAAAAACAUAGGUUUCUGCUAAGUCGCAAGACGAUGUAUAGGAGCUGACGCCUGCCCGGUGCUGGAAGGUUAAGGGGAUCUGUUAGAGCAAUCGAAGCAGUGAACUUAAGCCCCAGUAAACGGCGGCCGUAACUAUAACGGUCCUAAGGUAGCGAAAUUCCUUGUCGGGUAAGUUCCGACCCGCACGAAAGGCGUAACGAUUUGGGCACUGUCUCAACAACAGACUCGGUGAAAUUGUAAUUCCGGUGAAGAUGCCGGAUACCUGCGACAGGACGGAAAGACCCCAUGGAGCUUUACUGUAGCUUGACAUUGGGUCUUGGUACUACAUGUACAGGAUAGGUGGGAGGCUUUGAAACCAGGACGCCAGUUUUGGCGGAGCCAUCCUUGGGAUACCACCCUUGUAGUACUGGGACUCUAACCAUAGGCCAUGAAUCUGGUCUUGGGACACUGUCAGGUGGGCAGUUUGACUGGGGCGGUCGCCUCCCAAAAGGUAACGGAGGCGCUCAAAGGUUCUCUCAGUACGGUCGGAAAUCGUACGUAGAGUGUAAAGGCAAAAGAGAGCUUGAUUGCAAGACAUACAGGUCGAGCAAGGAUGAAAAUCGGACUUAGUGAUCCGGUGGUUCUGCGUGGAAGGGCCAUCGCUCAACGGAUAAAAGCUACCCUGGGGAUAACAGGCUUAUCUCCCCCAAGAGUCCACAUCGACGGGGAGGUUUGGCACCUCGAUGUCGGCUCAUCACAUCCUGGGGCUGUAGUAGGUCCCAAGGGUUGGGCUGUUCGCCCAUUAAAGUGGUACGCGAGCUGGGUUCAGAACGUCGUGAGACAGUUCGGUCCCUAUCCGUCGCAGGCGUAGGAAAUUUGAGAAGACCUGUCCUUAGUACGAGAGGACCGGGAUGGACG
rnacentral:rRNA from 1 species